GAUGAACGCUGGCGGCGUGCCUAAUACAUGCAAGUCGAGCGAACGGACGAGAAGCUUGCUUCUCUGAUGUUAGCGGCGGACGGGUGAGUAACACGUGGAUAACCUACCUAUAAGACUGGGAUAACUUCGGGAAACCGGAGCUAAUACCGGAUAAUAUCCUGAACCGCAUGGUUCAAAAGUGAAAGACGGUCUUUCUGUCACUUAUAGAUGGAUCCGCGCUGCAUUAGCUAGUUGGUAGGGUAACGGCUUACCAAGGCAACGAUGCAUAGCCGACCUGAGAGGCGGGUCGGCCACCUGGGAACUGAGACACGGACCAGGCUCCUGCGGGAGGCAGCAGUAGGGAAUCUUCCGCAAUGGGCGAAAGCCUGACGGAGCAAGGCCGAGUGAGUGAUGAAGAUCUUCGGAUCGUAAAACUCUGUUAUUAGGGAAGAACAUAUGUGUACGUAACUGUGCACAUCUUGACGGUACCUAAUCAGAAAGCCACGGCUAACUACGUG
rnacentral:rRNA from 1 species